rnacentral:lncRNA from 1 species
UGAAUACAAAUAGGAAUAGUUAAUAGUAUCCAACUUGGUAAAUGAUUGUAUUCUAGUGUCUAUAAAUAGGGUCUCAAUGUAAUAAUGUAGAGACAACAACAAUUCAAUAAUAUUCUUUUUCAACAUUUCUCACAAUUGAGACAACAUUCCUCCAUAUGAUAUCAAAUUCACUUUGUCCCAUUUCAUCGCAUCCAGUCAUCAUUUAUGUGCUACAACUUAAUGCAAUAAAGUCAAGCUAAAACCAACUUAUCAUCAAAAAAUACAUGUUAUGGUAAAAACCUUAUCAUCAAAAGAAAUCUACCAUUGUCUUUUCAUCACUACUCAUAUCUACAAAUUAAUUACUUCUUGAAGUGACAAAAGAUGUUCUCUUUAGCUUAAUAUAUUUUCUAGCCCUUUGAUUCCAAUAAUUUAGCUGUAUUGUCUUAACAUGUACAUUCAUAGUGCAAUAUUAUCCAAAGUAUGUACAACUAAUUGACAUGACAAGUUUUAGUAUGAUUGCAAGUAUCACGAUGAGUCAUGGUAACCAUACUUGUUCAACCUGAUAAAAGAAAAUAGCAAUCAGAUAAUCCCCACAGCCAAAAAUAGUGCUAACAUAGAGACUUGAAAUUAGUGCUAGAAAGGAAUCGUAAAAAGCAUUUCAAAGUUAAGAGAAUAUGAGGACAAAUCAAAGCACCGGUACCUACUACUCUAUUUAAGUAACCUUACCAUUAUGUCAAUAAAGACUACAAUCAUAAGGAAAAAUCCAACAAUUUAUCCGUAACUCCUCCAUGUUUUUGUUUGUUCCACUUCAUUGCUCUUUUCUUUUUCGUCAAGUAACUGAAUCUAUGUUUCCUUCCUUUGCAUCUGUUGCAAAUAACACAUCUUCUGUCUCUUUUCCUCAUAAUCUCUUGGGUAACUUAUCAAUCCAUCAAAAAAAAAAAUGUAAUUAAGAGGUUAUAUUUAUAUCCUUCGAGUAUAAACAUAUUGAUACUUGAAACUGCACAACUGAGUCCAUCUGGAAGAUCAGCACCUAAAAUCCUAAAUGAGCAAAAUGAAUAGUUUCAUUUGUACUAACUGCCAGAAAACUAAAUAAAAAAUCUUCUAGUUAAGAUAACAGCUGCAUUAUUAAUCAUCCAGUUUGUGAGGUAUUUCCAUUCAUUCCAAUAAACUGAAACAGAAAAUGUGGAAAGCACCCGAAGUAGUAAACAACUAAUAGACUCAUCACACGGAGGUAGAGACACAAUUUGAUCUGUUGAAAACACAAUUCAACAAUCAGUUUAUUUAUUUCUAUGGAUACAAUACACUUCUUAAUUUUAAGAAACUUCUUCUUCCAAACAUCUCUUUGGCUUUUAUCUAAGAAUUGACAUGCCACCUCUGUUCUGUUUUUUUGGUAUAUACAAGAAAAUACAAAUAUACAAGUGUUUCCUCAUCGACAAUCUUCUUUGCAGUCUAGAACUAAAAUUGAGAAUUUCAAAAGCAAGUCAGGUAAUAGUGUAUGUUCAAUCUCUUUUGUGAUUUGGUACAUCCUUGCAUAUUUCAUAACAACUACUUGAGGUACCUUAUUUAAUUACUGCUUGACAUUAAUUGCUCGAGGUCUCCAGCCAGAAACUAUAUUUUCGAAGAGCUCGGUGUGGAGCAAAAAUAGGAUAUCCUAGAGGUCAACAACGGCUCUCGACAACUUAAGCUACAUCUCUGCUUAAAUUUGUUUCGGUUAAUGAAUCUACUUCUAGAAAGCUCUACAAAAUUGAAAUCAAACAAAUAUCAUAUAUUUGAAAGACAUGUGUUGCUAUAUCUACCGGCAUCAACAGACUUAUGCAGACAUAGGCACAUUUCAAUUAAGUAAAUUUUUUAUAACCGGAGAAAUCCCCGAGGUUCCAAACUCAGUGGAUCUUGAGCACAGCUUCUUCCCACCCACCUCCUAUCCAUCCCCCAACCCCAGCCCACCCAAAAAGAGGGUAGUGAAUUUGAAAGCACUUCUGAACCUUUUUAAUUUAUUAGAAAGCACCUUAAAUAGAAUCUUGUAAAUGCUUCCUACCGGACUAAUAGGUCUAUAGUCCUUUAUACUUGUCACACCUUCCUUCUUUGGCACAUUAGUAACAAAGGAUGCAUUAAGACUUUUCUCGUACUCCCCUGAAUUCUGAAUUCUGCAAUGGUCACCAACAGCUCACAUUUGACUAUCCUCCAACAUUGUUGGAAAAGAGCAAACGAGAAUCCAUCAGGACUUGGAGCCUUGUCACCCAGACAACUAUCCCUCACCUCUUCUUCUUCUACAGCCCUUUCCAACCACUCCCUCACCCCCUCCCCUAUUAGGUUAAAUACUAGCGCCCCCCAGAAUUUUUGUCUCCACCUGAUAACUUCCUUGAACGAAUGUUCAUAAAACCAUACAAUGGCCUCCUCCACUUCCGCCUCCCCCUCACGCGCCUAUAAAAACGAUAAAGUUUCUCUUCCUAUUUGCUAUGGCUACCCUAUGAAAGAAUUUUUUGUUAGAAUUCCCCCUCUUUCAACCACAAUGCCCUCAAAUUUUGCCUCCAACUAGUCUCUUCGGCAACCGCUAGAGCCGCAAGCUCCCUCUUUGCCUACUCAUAUCUGACCUUCUCCCUUUCUUCUAACAUCCUCAUCCCUUCCACAUGCUCAAUCUCCCCCACCUCAUUUAUUAGCUCUCUUAUUUUAAACUUUCACCCUCCCAAACACCUCUUUGUUCCAUUUACUUAUAUCUCCGUUUACAAUUUCAACUUACAGGCAAGUCGAAAAGAUGGUGUGCCAGUUUUUAUUCUUGAAAAACUUCAAACUAUAUUAAAAAUAAAUAUCACAUGACUUGAGCAACUAAAUAUGAUGGGAUCCAGUUUUAGUAGCCCAGUGAUUCAGGCAAUACAAUUUUUAGUCAUUUUAUUCUCGUGACAGGGAAAUUUCCCCAUAGAACUAAGAAGAGAUGUCUAUAGAUAUUUCAUCAUAAGCCAUACCACGGCAUUCAACAAUUUCUUUGCUAAAUUCAUACCUACGAUCAAGUCACAAUAUGUCAGAAAGUGCAAUAACAGUUAUCCUGUUACAAUAAAUAGACACAUAGAAACAUAUACAUUAAGAUGUCAAUAACCUAUAGGUCAAGAUAAAAUACCAACAUAUUCUAUUUGGAAAUACUUCGAAAAUACUCUCCACACAAUUUCUUCUUGUUCCCCUGUAUAAAAGGCAACGUGGUUAACAGAGCACCAAAUCUCAGGUAAGCUUCCUAUAGACUUCUCAACAUAACUAGAAAGCCGUAAUCUGAAAGCACUUUUAAAUAAAUUUUAGGAAUGCUAGUAAAGGCCAAAUUAGUUAUUUUCUACACCUUCAAGAUUUAUCCUACCCUUAUCUUCUAGAACUCUAUAGUGUUCCAUUGUUCUUUAGAUGUUUUUAGCUGGUACAAUAUCUUACAAAAGUAGAAAAGACAGAAUUUUUAACUACUUUGAUGUACAUUACUCGAGCUGAGGAUCUUGCUGAAAUAGCCUCUCUACCUCUACGAGGUAGGGGUCUGUGAACACUCUAUCCCAGACCCCGCUUAUGGUUCUACAUUGGGUUUGUUGUUGUUGUUGUUAGCAGAGGAGAUGAGCACCACUCAUGGAAUGUCGGAACACCUGUUACAGGUUCCUGCAUUCAAAUACAAGACCAGUGAUCCAAAACAAUUCAGUUUCUGGUAAUUCAUAUUCGCUACUGGUUUUGAUUUUGCAAAAUCUAGGUUCCACAGUUUUUAGUUACCAAAAAAAUGAAAUUCCUGAUCCCUGUUUGAUAAAAUAAACCAAAAAAUUGAACCGUGUGGUAGAAGGGAAUAUUCCCACCUCGAACCCUGACUGAAUUCCCACCUCAAACUUCAACAGUGUUGGUAUAAGGGAAAAUUUUAGAAAAUUUCCCAGUCCCUUGGAAUGAUGAUGACUUCUGUCCUCAGUUAGCCAGAAGCGUUUUCUUCAUCCAUGAAAAAGAGAACUACAUAAACAAAUUUUAUAGUCCUGUUAAAUUUUCCAGUGUUUUACUUGGAUUAGAGGAAAAUUUGGACUUUGUGCUGUAUUAUUUCACCAAAAGGAUACCCGUACUUGCAAUCUUUGCAUAUGAUCUCUGUUUAUCUUAGACUUUUGGUCCAUCAACCAAAGCAUGCCACAAACUACUAAACAAGUCUCACAUAAAAUUCAACUUCUCACCUUUGGUAUAUCACUUGUAGGUUUAUAUUUCGGUGGCAACAUAUGCUGACUUAGAGAUGAAUGGUGAAUUAUCAAUGAAGAUUUUUGUCUGAUCGUAGCAGGGUUAUUAGAAACUUGCAACCAACAACAGUAGAAAUUUUCAUAAUAGCCUACAACUUUUGCUUCCACGUUAAACAUAAACAGUAUGAGUUUAACAAUAAAAGUGCAGCUAUAAAAACAUAAUCAUGUCUGAUACUUUGAAGAGUUUGUUUGGAACUUGGACAACUAUAUUGAUGUUUAUAUCUUAUACUGAAAUUAAUUUGAAUAAACCUACUUGACAAAUGCCAGAAACUUGACGAAGUUACAUCUACCUAAACGGCAUAAACAGUAUAUCAACUAACAAGAACUAAUCACAAAGAAAGGGAAACCAAGAAAAAGUAAGAAAAAAGAGAGCAACAUUCCAAGAUUCAGUUUUCCAGAUUCAAGAAUGCAAGAAAGUGGAGAAAUUGAAAAGUAUGUUCUCAAGAAUAUAUAUGGAAAAAUAUGAAGUAGGAACAAAUAGUACUUGGUAGUAUUUAAUAAAAGCUCAACAAGGAUUUCAGAUGAAUACAGAACAUAUAUAUUACAGAAGAGAACAAAUUAAGGAUACCUUUAUCACCUAACUGGUAGUCCUUAAACCUCAACUCCUCCUGGCUUUUAUCUUUAUAAGUCUGCAUUAUAUUCCACAAAUGGAUUGAAUUUUUCCACCACCGGGUCCUGUGAUAUCGUUCUCUAGAGUUGCAAUAUAUGAUGUUAUUCUACUUCCUUUCUGAUUAAUGCCAAAUGCUGACUUUCCAAAACCAGAGCUCUUGAGAAAGGGUGGUCUGUACUUUCUUUUCCUGGUUUGCAAAUUUGAUCAAGAUUGAACACUUAAAGAUAUCAAAAAAUAUGAAGUAGGAAUAAAUAGUACCUAGUGGUAUUUAGUAAAAGCUUUCAGAUCAAUAUAGAGCAUAUAGAUUACAGAGAAAAAUUCUCCCUCAAAACGUUGAUUAAUCUGCUCCAAUACAUGAGAAAAUGGACAAUAAAGUUAACCUUUGCACCCUAACAUGGAUUCUUCUGGUUGGCCAAAGGAGUAUGAAUCAAGUCUUGGGGUGCCAAAGUGUGAGUUGCUUGAAACAACAAAUGCAGGAGCUCUUGGAUAUCCAAGUAUGGAGGAAUCUGAGACAUUGACAUCCCUGGACCACACUAGACGUUCAUUGGCCACACUAAUAAAGUCAUAUUUCUUUCCAAGGUAAAGUGGAGGAGCCCAAAGAUACGUUUUGUGUUUGACCAGAUGUAGCAUUUGUUGCUGCACUAAAGUCUAAUGGUACUGCAGUUAGGAAAGCAGAUUGAAUUGAUUUUCUAAUCACUAAUUAAAGACAACUACAAGCAUGAAUACCUGGCACAAGAUCGGUUCUAGAAAUUGUAAGCAAUAACACUACCCACCAUAAGAAAUCCCACUGAUGUACUGCAGUUAUUACUAACAUUUUUUUAGAAGCGUACAACUCAAGAAGCAUAGCUACUUCCACAAGGAGCAGAUUUAGCUUUUCGACCAAUUCCAAAGCCGCCUUGCUUCUCUAGAAAAGUAAAUAUGAUAUCUCUUCUUUCAUGAAAUUGGCAGUAGUAAGUGUAGCAUCUAUAAAUGUCAAUCCUCACCUUGACCACAGGCGAGAAAGAAUGCUACAAUUAAUCCAUUUGGCAAAGAAAUCAUUGGGAAAAACAUAUUCAAAGAGUGUGUGUAGGUCAUUCCCUAUUUCCCAUGCAAUAGCCUAUGUGGUCUUUCUGCUGAGACAUAGUAAUGCACCAAAAUCAAGCUAGAAACAAAAUUAAGUUUUGAAGAAUAUGCAAGAAAGUUGGAAAAUGUUGUUAAGAGUGUAUGAAAACAAAUUCUUGGUAUCAAUCUUUUUUUCUUUUCUUUUCUUUUCUUUUCUUAUAGUAGUGUUAAUCUACGUCAUGCCACUUUUCUUGGAUCCGCGUUACAUGGAUUGUUGAACCUGAUUUCAACUAAAUUGAUUCAUAUGCUUAUGUAGUAAUGUAGACUAUGUGUACUAAUUAAUACCAAGAACGUUCUCUUGGGAUUACAAUAUAUAGAAACAGAUAUAUAAUGGAUUUGGAAAAGGGUAAAUUAAAGGGGAACCAAGAAAAAGGAAGAAUAAGAGAGCAACAUUCCCCAGAUUCAGUUUUCUGAAUUCAAGAAUGCAAGAAAGUGGCGAAUGCCAUGGUAUGGAGAUUGUACCGACCACAUAAACUAUCAAGUAACAACAUGUAAGUAAUGAAAGAAAAUUUACAAAUACUCAUAAACACAGGACACAAUGCAUCAAAAGCCCUAAAGAAUGAAAUUUUACUCACUUGUAGCCGUGAAUAUCGACGACAGACAGACAGACAAAACAAAGAAGAAGGACCCUUUUGAUUGUCAAUGUUUUGGAAUGGUGGAAUAUAUAUAGAGAAGAAUAAGAAGAAGAAAGGUUGCAUAAUCUUUCUUAACCUGUUGCUUAAGCUAAUAUCCUUUCCAGCUUGCUAUUUAAGCUAAUAUACAACUAAUUAAAAGACAUGUUUUUUUCCCUCAAUUAUUACUUAAAAUAAACUAGAUACAAAAAUUCAGGCUUAUUAUUUUAAUUUUUAAUUUAUACGACAUAAAUAGAAUUAGGAGAGUCAACUAAUUUUUUAAAUAUUUUUAUUGUUAAUUAUUUAUAUAAUAUUUUUCAAAUAAUAUAAAUAGAAUUAGGAGAAUCAACUAAUUUCUUAAAUAUUUUUAUUGUUAAUUAUUUAUAUAAUAUUUUUCAAAUAAUAUAUGUGGCACUUGUAGCGAUGAAUAUCGACGACAGACAAAACAAAGAAGAAGAAGAGGAGUCCCUUUUGAUUGUCAAUGUUUUGGAAUGGUGGUAUAUAUAGAGAGAAUAAGAAGAAGGUUGCAUAAUGUCUACGCAUAUAUUAAAUCGUAAGCGUAUUUUUCUUACUCUUUAAGUUAAUAUCCUUCUCAUAUACGAUUAAUUAAAAAACACGUUUAUAUAUAGAAGAAGAAGAAGAAAUGUUGCAUAAUGUCUACGCAUAUAUUAAAUCGUAAGCAUGUUUUUCUUACUGUUUAAGCUAAUAUCCUUUCCAGCUUAGUGUUUAAGCUAAUAUCCUUCUCAUAAACGAUUAAUUAAAAAACACUUUUUUUUCUCAAUUAUUAAUAAAUUAGAAACAAAAAUAAAGGCAAGUUCGGAUCCAAUAUAUAUUAGUUUAUUUAUUUUAAUUUAUGUAACACAAAUAGAAUUAAGAACGUCAAUUAAAUUUUAAAAUAUUGUUUUAUUGUUAAUUAUUUAUACAAUAUUUUCAAUGUACUUUUCAAAUAAUAUAUGUGGCACAUGUAAUAUUUAGAGAGUUUAUCAAUAUUUUAAAUUGUUAAUUAUUGUGAUUUAUGUUACACGUGAAAUUUGGAGAGUUAAUCAAUUUUUUAAAUAUGUUUUAUUUUAAGAAGACACAUACUUUAUAUUUCUUAGUUAAUAUAAUUUUUAAAUAAUAUAUAUUACCCCUUUUGUCUCAGUUUAUGUGACAUAGGUGAAAUUUCAAAAGAUAAUCAGUUUUUUAUUAUAUUUUUAAAAAUAUUUUAAGUCAUUAGUUAUUGAGAUUUAUAGUAAUUUUAACGUAAUUUUCAAAUAAAUUAUGUUACUCUCUUAGUCCCAAUUUAUUCCGCAUAAUCGAAAUUUUGAAAAUUAAUCAAUUUUUUUAUAAGUAAUUUCUGAAUACAUGAUAUUAAGAAAAAAUAAACAAAAAUAAUUAAAUAUAAAAUAGAUGAAUUCUAAGGAGAAGGGCAAAUCGAUACCCAUGUAGUUAUUACAAUUUUGAAUAUUACAAUUAUUCUUGUAGCACCAUAGUACUCCAUCUCCAUUAAAAAAUAAUCAAACAUAGCAAAAAUAAAAAAUAAAAUCAUCCAAAUUCAAGUAUAUAAAUAAUUUUAAACGUAAAAUAAAAAGAUAUUAAUUAUUAAAUCUUUGCAAACUAUAUGGCCUAUUUGUUGGUGUUUUUUGACGAUAAUAAUUGAUAAAAGUAUGUGUGACAAGUAGAAUUAAAGAGUUGUUACCACUUUUUGUCUGUGUCAACCCUCCUGGUCCAUGACGUUUAGCCUUGUGCUUGAGCCACCCAUGUAAAUAUCGUCGCAAAUAUGACAAGCAGAACAACUUUUCCCGUGACCUUUCGUAGCUUAUGUUGGAAAGAGAAAAGAAAUAAAAAAGACAGAGAGUCCAAAUAUGAGGUGUCGGUUUACUAAGCACUUGUUGGCUGUUGCAACACAAAAUUAGUCAAAUAAGAUAUGUCGAGGGAUAGUGCUAUUUAUAAGCAAGAAAAUGCGAAGAUUAGAUAUAAAUGAUUCUUUGGCAUGUAAACAAAUUAGUUGUCAAUGAACAAUGACAUCUCAACUUGUCACACAGGUUUUUAUUAAUUAUUAUUGACAAAUUUGUAUCCAACCUACUGUUUAAGCUAAUAUCCUUCUCGGUUUACUAAGCACUUGUUGGCUGUUGCAACACAAAAUUAGUCAAAUAAGAUAUGUCGAGGGAUAGUGCUAUUUAUAAGCAAGAAAAUGCGAAGAUUAGAUAUAAAUGAUUCUUUGGCAUGUAAACAAAUUAGUUGUCAAUGAACAAUGACAUCUCAACUUGUCACACAGGUUUUUAUUAAUUAUUAUUGACAAAUUUGUAUCCAACCUACUGUUUAAGCUAAUAUCCUUCUCAUAUACGAUUAAUUAAAAAAUAAGUUUUUUUCUCAAUUAUUACAUAAAGUCAAAGUCACCACUAAAGUGUUCCGGAUUUUCAUAAAGACACCUUAACUUUGGGGACGUCCUAUUGUCCCACAAAAGUAUUGAAUAUAUAUGUAAAUGAACAUUUUGACGAUUUUCUCUACUGUGAACACACGCGUGAUACUCACUCUUUUAAUUAAAUCUAAUUUAAAUUGAUUUCUUCAAACCAACCAAACCCGAAUCAUUUCAAAAAAGAGAUCUCUUGUUCUCCAUUUUUCAUUUCUUAGUUUAUGUCUGCAUUUUCUUCAAUCAGAGGCAUUGUUGAAGAUCAUCUCCUACAAUUUCAACGUUUGUUUGCCAAAUUUCUUGGAGUACUAGCUUAUUAAACAAGGAAUUGAAGGUUAACAUGUUUGAGAUUAAAUGAUAAAUGAGGGGGGAAAGAGUGAUAUUAGGGCUUUAAGUCGUCUAUGUGGAGGUGGGGUGUGUUUGGCGUGCACAUGUGGAGUCCAUGUGGCAUUUUAGCACCACACGUGGAUGUUUUUGUUAAACAGAAGGGCAAGCGUGGUCCAAUAGUUAGACGGAAAGGACAUUUUUGAGCCGAAAUACAGUUUAAGGCUAUAUUUAAGCUAUUUCGAAUAGUUUAAACGUAGUUUUGACCCUUUUCCGUAGUCGUCUAUGUGGAACUGGGAUCUGUUUAACAUGCACGUGUGACAUCCAUGUGGCGUCCAUGUGGCAUUUAACACACACAUGGAUACUUCCGUUAACUAGAAGGGUAACAUUGCCCAAUAGUUUGACGGGAAAGGUAUUUUUUAGCCGAAAUAUAAUUUAAGGAUAUAUUUAAGCUAUUUCGAAUAAUUUAAGCAUAGUUUUGACCUUUUUCCAUUCCUUUUAUUCUAUUCUAAAAAAAAAAAUUGACCCCUCAUAUACUUGGAAAUUAUUUAAUUUAGCAUUCAUAAAUUGCCCUCCAGUCCAUUUUAGGUAAUUUUUAAAAGGUUUGACCAGAUUCUCAUUAAUAAAAUGAGUUAUUUUAUUCAACAUUUGUUCAAUAUUUUAUUAGACAAGGAUAAUUUUGGAAAAAAAGUUAUUAAUAAAUUUAUAGAAUUUUAAAUUCCACAACCAUAUUUAGACAAAUUUUUAAUGUUACAUUACUACCAUGCAAAUCUGAAUUAGUGAAGCAAAUACAUUUUUGAACAAUGAAUAAUUAAAAAGAAUCACAUCAACAACAAUAUAAAGAUAUUCAGAAGCAAGACUUUUAAUUUUAUAAUUGGACACUAGACCAUUAAACUAUUACUCCUUAUUUGUUAAAAUCAACUAAUUGAAGAUUGAAAGGUACUAUUUGGUCAACCAUUGCCAAAGCUAAAAAUGGAAAUUUAUAGUCAAAGCAAUUACCAUUCUUGAAACAAAGCAAGUACAUAAUAAAUUGUCCCAAUGAGAUGACUAAACGUAAUCACAGAUGCUUAAUUUUGGUGAAUAAAUUACUCGAUAUUUGUGCUGACGGCGAGGCUGCCUUGCUUGUCUUGUUUUAGUGGCCAAUACUCAAUGUACUUGAUGUUUCCUUUAGGAAUCAAUAUGCCAUUAUGCAUUGAUCAUUAAUUUGCUCAUUAUCGUGACAUAAAAACUAAAUACGUCUUCAUAUAAAGAUUAAACAAAGAAUAUGUAAGGCUCUUCAGUGGUGACGGCAAAUGAGUUGAAAAUGGGUCAAACAAAACCGAAACAUAACCCAACUCGCUCAUAUUUCAUACACUGGGUAUGAUCACUUUGUUUUUCAGGUUGACCAUUAGAGUUCUGAGAACCCAGCAAGUUAAAUCAUCACAAAGAGGCAGAGGCUAAGCCAGAACAUCUGGGUUGGACCUGCAGCCGAAGACAAACAAAGAAGCUCACCAUUUAGUCAUUAAUAAGCUUCAAACAUACUCCAGUAGUUUUGAAAACAUUAUGUGUGAGUGUGUGAAAACCUUAAAAACAGCACAUCAAUAAUGCACUACUUUGAACAAGUUUGACAUAUGAACCGAAAACAUCACAACUCACAAGUGCAAUAAAUAAUGUUUCCACUAGAUUAAGCUGAUUGAAUCAAGAUUGAUUUUCACAAGAGAUGGGAACAUUGAAAAACAACCAACAUAAGAUUAGAGCAACACACUGAGACAUCAUUGACUGUUACAACUUAUACAUCCAUGUAGACACUGCUAACUGAAUAAAGACCACUUUUUUUAAUGAUUCCACAACAUCUUGUCUGUGGAAAUUGUAUCCAUACUCAUUCCACCUAUCUUCCCUAGUAACUCUACAACCAUUUCCACAUCCCAAUCAUUUACAAGUCUUCUAAAGGAUAAAUCCCAUCCCUGUUCUGGCCCAACAGUCCCCUACAUUAGCAUCAAGACUCACACAAAUUUGGAAAAGAUUCCUAAGAGGGAAUUGUUCUAUCCAGAAAUCCUUCCAGAAUCUUGUUUUACUGUCAUUUCCACUUUGAUAUAUAAGUCUGCCUUCAUUUGAGGCCACAAACUUCUGAUUGUUCUCCAUAGUCCCACACCCCGUAAGGUUCAACUGUGUUAUCUGUACACCAUUGGGUUAGCUCACCAAACACUCAGCUUUAAUCACCUCUUUCAAGAAAGCAUUUCUCUCCUCAAUGUACCUCCACAUCGACUUCUUCAGAAGACUUACAUUUUGCAAUCUCAAAUUUCUAAUCCCCCCCCCCCCCCCCAGUCUUUGUUAAGAAGUACAGUCUUCCAGUUUACCACCGGAGAGGAGUUCAGAUGCCCUGAAGGGACCUCCAAAGGUUUAUCUUGGAGUCCAUGUCUGGGAGCGACAAGGAUUUGUAAGAUAUUAUUUAGGCCGUGUCCUGAAUCAAAUUCUCUAUUAAGCGUAAGGGUUAUAAGAAAGUGGAAAAUGAAUAUAUUUAACCAUACAAUUUUUUAGAACAGUUCACCCCCCACUCCCACACACACAAAAAAAAGAUCUAUUGUAUUAGUACCUUAUUGUUUUAUGUGCACUAACGUUCACCUUCUUUUUGGAGAAGCAGACAAAGAUCCUCACUUGAAUCCUGUCAGUGUCCCAAGAAGAAAGAGAUCAAAGCUUAGACAAUGCAUUUUGUCACCUGCUCAAAUCCAGAGGACACUUGAUAACAAUCUCCAGGCACCAGACUUUGAAAUAAUAUCUGACGGAGAUGAACCUGUUACUCUAAUUUAUGCAAGGAACAAAUACAUUCCUCCUAAUGAGGUUGGUCUUGGAGCUAUGCUGCUAGUAUCACCAACUACUACUACAGAACGCUUGACGCCUCUAUCAGCAAUGGCAGUUCCUCCUAAUGAGAUUGGUCACGAACCUAUGCUGCUAGUAUCACCAACUACUACUAUAGAACGCUCGACACCUCAAUUAGCAAUGGAAGAAGAUACUGUUUCUUGCUCAAUGGAUGUUUCUAAAUAAAAUUCAUCUAUAAGUGAAUUUUUAGAUGCAUGCAUAACAUUCAAGUUGGUAUGUGAAGCCAGCUCUUAUUGUCUAGCUAGUGCAAUGUUGGCUAAAUACAAUUUGCGCUGUUCCAACUUUACAGAUUUCCCCGACAGUCUGGGUGUUUUGAGACCAUCUAGUUUAUCUUGUUCUGGAUAUUUAUAGUUUCUUCCAUUUUAAUGGAUUGAAUUUUUAGACACGUCAAUUCUGCUUUUUGGAUGCAUUUAAUAUGUCAAUUCCGAAGUCUAUCAUGCGUGCUUACCUACAAGUUUGUCAGUUUGCGUGGACUCCACAGUAGACUAAAAUUGUAACAUCACAACGGCAAUUUGACUUACAUAUGCUUGACAUGUUGUAAUGUCUUGCAUUGUACUUGUUUCAGGAGAAAGAACAAUGUACUAGAUCAUGUGGCUAUGCAAAAUGAAACUACUGGAAAUGAGGAUGGAAAAGCAAAUGCAUGUGAUAAUAGACUCGCACCAGAUCAUAUGAAUACUACAUCAAGGGUAUGUCGGAUAAAUUGUUCUAAAAAAUGUUGUUGCUAUUGAAUUUUCAUCUGUAUAUGGAGAUGAACAUCUUAUUAUUGAAGAAAUAGGUAUAUCAGCCUCAGGAUAAGGUAUGCUCAACCAAAAAAAGUUUAAAAAUAAGUCUACCAAAAAGUCUCUUCGAUCUCCUUCUAAGUUAUUAGGACAAGUCGAUAAGACACUACACCUUCCAAUAAUAGCUGUUACAGAAUGACAAAAGUCCCACAUCGGUGGUUUAUGAGAUGGGUGGACUCCUUAUAAGAUUUGAUCAAUCCUCUUCUCUUUGAGCUAGCGUUUGGGUGUGAGUUAGGUCUAAGACCUAAUUUAACAUGGUAUCAGAGCAGGGCUCAUCUCACCCAAUGUUGGGGCCCCCAAAAUCAAAAUUGCCCACGCACCAGAUGCUAAGCACUCGGCGUGAGUGGGGUGUUAAUGAAUGCAAAGUCCCACAUCGGUGGUUUAUGAGAGUGGAUGAACUCCUUAUAAGGCUUGGCAAUCCUCCUCCCUUUGAGCUAGCUUUUGGGUGUGAGUUAGGCCUAAAACCUAAUUUAAAAAUAGCUACACUAAAAGAGAUGCUAGAGAGCCAUUAUUAAAUAAUCCGAGAGCAAUUAUCAUAAAGAUAAAUGAAGCAUGAUGAGCUUAAAUGAAGCAAGAUAAUAAAGAUUCAUAGAGUUGCCCCAACUAGCUUGAAGUGAGGCAUGAUAGUGGUUGUGAAUUGGAAGUCAGUAAGAAUAAAAUAAAGAAAAAUCCAUCUGCUUAGAUACACGAAAUUCUGUCAAUGGCGGCAGAUGAAUACACAAGCAUAGUAAGAUAGAAAAAAUAAGUGCCGCUGCUGCAUCUCAGAAGCAGAGACUGGCCUGGAAAAGGAAUCAUCCAUAACUGAGUCCAUUUAACAAUAAAACGGUUGCCAAGACCGUAAUAGAUUAUCUGCAUUUCAAGAACAAGGAAAUAUUGUUCAGAUGAGUCAAUAUCAUCUUACCAAAAUAUUGCGAGUCGAGUCUUCAGGACUAACAGUUGAGACAAGGACCUCUAAAAUUGAAGAUAAAAGUGCCAAGAAAAAGCAUGAGAACAUUCAUGAUUUGGAAGCUCACUAAGGUGUGUUCAAACAGUCAAUUGGGAAGUUUUUGGCGACUAAUUUUCUUUUCACUUGGUUAUUUGGCAACUAUCUUAUUUCCUCACUCUUAGAUAUUUCAAUUAUCAUAUUGAAAAUAUUUAAUGCUCCCUUAUCUUAAGAUUUGUUGCUUAACAAGCCUUGACCACUUAACUAAAGGCCUAAAAUUAUGAAGGUUCACCAAAUCCAGCAUUCUCCCCCAAAUCCCCACCCCCAUUUUUUAAUAGAGAAUCUAAGACUUCUCUCAUUGGAGUUCUAUUGCCAAUAAUUGAGAAUUUACAGUAAUCAAAGUUGAUGAGCUGUCACAAAAGGGAAAACAGAUCCCCCAAGGCCUAGCUCGAGUGGCAAAAGGUGGAGGAUUUGUGGCUUAGGUCGCAGGUUGAAGCCCCAUACCAUGCAAAGCGAAGCCCGGUAUUUAAGUGGAGAAGGGUAGAGGGGCGGGCCCAUUAUCCACCGAGUUUAGAAGGCUAUGAUUGGUCCAAAGGGCGGAUCACAGACGGAUUUCUCGGUUAUCAAAAAAAAAAAAAAAAAAGGGAAAACAGAAUCAAUCAAAGUUAAUGACCCUCUAUCAUGAUUAAUCUAUUUCCAUAAAUAAAUGACCAGCUGUAGUCUAUCUGUCUAUAUAUUUUAUCCGUCGCCUCAGACAGACAUUUUGAGAUUUUGAAAGCAAAUCCAACUCUAACGUUAGCAGCAGUACAUUCAACCUGAUUUGAACUGGAAUCAUUCAGAACCAGAUUUUAUGGGUAAACAAGGGCCAUGUUGCCAUUGUGGCAUCGAGCGUAAGUACUAUUAAACACCUAUAUUCCACCUUUUAUGUUUAUCAAUAAUCUCGUGCUUUACAGGAUAAUUGAUUCAGUGAAGCUUAGAAUUAAUGUGCCUGAUGAUAAGUAAAUAAACAGUGAAGACUCACAUGCCUGAAACAGUAAAUAACCAAAUUUCCCUAAAUUGCCAAUCUGUUAAACAUAAAGCAUAGCGUACUUGAAUUUUCUCACCUCUCGAGCCAAAUGCUAAUUGAUUUUCAAAACAGCUCCCCUUAGUCUAAUAGGAACUAAGGUCAUCUUGGAUAAAUUGUAGAUUUGGUCCCCAAUCGCUGGCAUAGAUGCACAUUUUAGACCCUGCUGUAUUCCGCUUCAAAUUUGGCACCAAUGACCCUGCUCCACAACAACUGUCUUAGAGCUUUGCUUUAAAAUUCCAGAUUUUUUAUCCCAAGCCCCCAUUCUUCUUAGCAGACAUCACAGAUUUCUAUUUUACCAGGUGGUACCCUUUCUUUUCUUUGUUUCCCUGCCACAAAAACUCUCUCCUAAUGUUGUCCAACCUUUUGAUAACCCCUGGUGGGAUGGGAAAUAAAGGCAUCAUAUAAGUUGGUAAAGCAUCAAGGACUGAAUUAAUGAGAGUCGGUCUUCCUCUAAGGAGAGGUAUUGAGUUUUCCACCUGGCAAGCUUUUUUUCACACUUCUUUAUCACUCUAUCCCAUAUUUGUAUAGAUUUAGAUUUAGCCCCAGAGGUAGCCCCAAGUAAAUUGUUGGCAGACUGCCAAAUUCUCCAUCAUGUAUAGCAGCUAGCAAGUUCAUGUUGGUGACUUCAUUUAUACAAUACAUUAGGCUCUUCCUCUAAAAUCUAUGUUGCUUGGAAUCUCUGAAAUUGUUGCCGCACCCGUGUCGAAUUCUCCAAAAUGCACUACUUUUGGAGUAUCCGACAUGGUACCUCUUGACAUUUUUGAAAAAUCUGAGCAACAUAGACUAUAAUACCUAUUCCAUUUCUAAUCCUCAAACUUCCUGAGUACCUUAACUUGAGCCCGCCUAUAUCCCUAGUCUUAGUUCCUACCCAUUAGGUUUCCUAAACACAAGGUAUAUUGAUCCUCCUUCUCUUUCUUAUAAUCACCAACUCUAUUGACUUCCUCGCCAAUAUCCCUAUGUUCCAAGACAGAACUCACAACCUAGGAGUUCCCUUGGUACCCUUACCACCCCUGUCCUCACCCCAAAUCAUUGACAUGACUUUUAACUACCACCUAUUGAAGCCACUAAUGCAAGUUAUAGAAUAAUCAAGUGGGGCAACUCACACAAUACAAUGAAGAAAAUAAAAAAAGCAACAGCAAAGAUACCAAUUCAAAGUAGGAACCAAGAAAAUGUAGUAAUAUUCAUAAACAAUCAUAUCAGAUUUAAGGAAAUAAGUUAACAAUCAAGCAACAAUAAGGAUCUGAACAAUAUCUCAAGGAAAAAUCAGGUCUAGAUAAGACAGGAAAAUAUAUAAAAGGUGUGGUGGAUCAAACCUAGGCGUUGAUGGGGAUAAAAAAUACUAUGGACGGAUUUUCCGAAAUCCAGCGAGCUCUGAUAUACUCCUUUGGUCUGUCGGUCAUCAGUCAUCAGGAUGGGGUCGCUGGAUUCUUGCUGGUGUUGAGCUCUAGAGAAAAAGAUAGUCCCUGUUGAAUAUUAUACAGUUAACCACUGUCAGAUUAGUUGAUAGCGCUCCUCCUUAAAAUAUCAUGCAAAGAAAUGCAGUCUGCCAAGAGGUUAACUAUUUUGCAUGGUUCAUUAACACAACAAGCAAAUCCUUUUCAAUCUUUCCACCAUCAAUAUCGUUCAACUAUGCUGUAUGGUGCCAUAAAAUGGUGAUGAAAAUGUGUGUAUAAAAGCAGUUGACACAUCCUAAAAGUCUAUAUAUGUUUCACAGAAAGAUAUUUCCUCCUGUUUUGCUAAAGAUAUUCCCCGCUAUACGUACUCUAGUUUCGUGACGCUUUUGUUCUCGUGCAGUACAUUCUAAACCUUUUACAGAAAAUCUUAAUUGUCAAUGAUCAUUGUGCUUUAGUUUCUGAGAUAAGUUACCUGUAAGAUUUUAUUCAUAUUUUGUCCCAUUUAAAUGCUAAUUAAUUGUGAACUCAAACAGAAACCCCCCUAUGGAGACCUGGACCAACUGCAAAACCAGUGCUCUGCAAUGCAUGUGGAUUAAGAUGGCAAACUAAAGAGACACUAGAUGACUAUCUUCCCAAACAUGCAAGCACAGAGUUACCUUCUGAGAUGAAGCUGGAAGUUGGCGAAGAGGUUUCUGGACAGGAUGGCUCUUCAGCUUGUCUUGAGGAGGAAAUGAUUAACAUAUCAAGCUUAGGUUCAGCAGGAUCAUCCCCAGACAAAUGCAUGCAAAUGGAAGAAACAAAUGGUAAAAAAAUUUCACUUAUAUAUACAUGAUGGACUUAACCUCCAUCAUCUCUUUUGACGCUUGCUGCCUCCUCUCCUAACCCAGCUCUCUAACAACUCUAAAGUAUGUUCUGGCAUUGUCACUGUAGUCAAAGGCGCGCUUACACCUGGAAGCGUAUUGUGCGCUUCCCCUCGCUUUAUGUGUGCUUUAGUGUCGUCAUCAAGGUUCUAAGGCAAACUUUUCCUUGCCAAUGAACCUCUUCUAAAGAACUAACACUAAGCAAUUGAUAUUUUACUUGAUCAUAAUUUUUUUUCAAUUUCUUUGGUCAUAUAUUUGUCAUUCAUGUUUAUAAUUAUUAGACUUGGACUAAACAUAUAUAUUUGUAUUUUUUUUCUCCCUUUGCGCCUUUUUUCAUUAAAGCCCAUGUUUUAUUUGCACUUAAAGCCCCAACAGACCUUAGAGCUUUUUUGCGCUUUUCGCCUUUGAUAACAAUGGGCAUUGUCCAGUUCAGACUAGAGAUGCUGAGAAACAAAUUCCAGAUUUGCUUAGUAAAUUACAAUGCAAGAAUAGGUGGCUGUCAGUUUCUCUUGUCAAAUUGCAUAAAAAGCACCUAGGGACCAGCUGUCUGCCCUUCUUCUGUAGUACUUCCUGUGUUAAACAUGCCCUCUUUAUCAGUAGCCAAGUGACACAUUUCACUUUUGUAGGAAUGUCCCCACUCCAGAAAUAGUUCCAGAGAUGUUUUGGAUCCCCAGCCAUCAGCUGGAGACCUCUUCUGUAGACACUACUAACUGAAUAAAGACCACAUUUUUUAAUGCUUCCAUACUCAUUCCACCUAUCUUCCCUAGUAACUCUACAACCCUUUCCACCUCCCAAUCAGUUACAAGUCUUCUGAAGGAUAAAUCCCAUCCCUGUUCUGACCCAACAGGCAACUACAUUAGCAUCAGGAUUCACACAAAUUUGGAAGAGAUUCCUAAGAGGGAAUUGUUCUAUCCAGAAAUCCUUCCAGAAUCUUGUUUAAUUGUCAUUUCCCACUUUGAUAUAAAAGUCUGCCUUCAUUUGAGGCCACAAACUUGUGAUUGUUCUCCCUACUCCCACACCCCGUAAGGUUCAACUGUGUUCUCUGUACACCAUGGGGUUAGCUCACCAUACUCAUCUUUAAUCACCUCUUUCCCGAAAGCAUUUCCCUCCUCAAUGUACCUCCACAACGACUUCUUCAGAAGACUUUCAUUUUGCAAUCUCAAAUUUCAAAUCCCCCCCCCCCCAUCCUCCUCUGUCUUUGUUAAGGAGUACAGUCUUCCAGUUUACCACCGGAGAGGAGUUUAGAUGCCCUGAAGGGACCUCUAAAGGUUUAUCUUGGAGUCCAUAUCUGGGAGCGACAAGGAAUUGUUAGAUAGUAUCUAGGUCGUGUCCUGAAUCAAAUUCUUUCUUAAGUGUAUGGGUUAUAAGAAAGUGGAAAACUAAUAUAUUUAACUAUACAAAUUUUUGUAACAGCUUACCCCCCACUCCCACACACGAAAAAAGAAGAUAAUAUCAAUUGUAUUAGUACCUUAUUUGUUUUAUUUGCACUAAUGUUCACCAUCUUUUUGGAGAAGUAGACAAAGAUCCUCACUUGAAUCCUGACAGUGUCCCAAGAAGAAAGAUAUUAAAGCUUAGACAUAGCAUUUUGUCACCUGCUCAAAUCCAGAGGACACUUGAUAACAAUCUCCAGGCACCAGACUUUGAAAUAAUAUCUGACGGAGAUGAACCUGUUACUCUAAUUUAUGCAAGGAACAAAUACAUUCCUCCUAAUGAGAUUGGUCUUGGAGCUAUGCUGCUAGUAUCACCAACUACUACUAUAGAACGCUCGACGCCUCAAUCAGCAAUGGCAGAAGAUACUGUCUCUUGCUCAAUGGAUGUUUCUAAAUAAAAUUCAUCUAUAAGUGAAUUUUUAGAUGCAUGCUUAACAUUUAAGCUGGUAUGUGAAGCCAGCUCUUAUUGUCUAGAUAGUGCAAUGUUGGCUAAAAACAAUUUGGGCUUUCCAACUUUACAGAUUUCCCCAACAGACACGCGCAACAGUCUGGGUGUUUUGAGACCAUCUAGUUUAUCUUGUUCUGGAUAUUUGUAGUUUCUUCCGUUUUAUUGGAUGGAAUUUUUAGACAUGUCAAUUCCGAAGUCUAUAACGCGUGCUUACCAACAAGUUUGUCAGUUUGUCUGGACUACACGGUAGACUAAAAUUGUAACAUCACAAAGGCCAUUUGACAUACAUAUGCUUGGCAUUACAACUGUAAUGUCUUGCAUUGUACUUGUUUCAGGAGAAACAACAAUGUUCUAGAAUAUGUGGCUAUGCAAAAUGAAACUACUGGAAAUAAGGAUGGAAAUGAAAAUGCAUGUGACAAUGGACUCGCUCCACAUCACAUGGAUACUACAGAAAGGGUAUGUCAAUAAAUUGUUCUAAAAAAUGCUGCUGCUAUUGAAUUUUCUUCUGUUUAUGGAGAUGAACAUCUUAUUAUUGAAGACAUAGGCAUAUCAGCCUCAGCAUAAGGUAUGCUCAACCACAAAAAGUUUAAAAAUAAGUCUACUAAAAAGUCUCUUCGAUCUCCUUUUAAGUUGCUAGGACAAGUCGAUAAGACACUACACCUUCCAAUAAUAGCUACACUAAAGAGAAGCUAGAGAGCCAUUAUUAAAUAAUCCAAGAGCAAUGGAGACCGAGAAUAAUUUAGUACUGAGUUUCAUUUAUGCCCUCAAGUGGCAACAUAGCACUCUUCAAAAUAUAUUUAUACUUUAUAUUACUAAGUAGACUUUGAAGUAAUAAGUAGACAUCGUAAAAGUUAAACGACAACACUCCUUUUGUGACAUUCCUGAUUCUACCACUUAUAUUGCUACUCUAGCAACAAAUAUUGCAGAAACCAAAGCAAUGGAUUAACUAUUCACAACCAUAAAACUUUCUUAGAAGGCCACGAAGUACUAAAACAAAAGAAAGGGGUGAAGAGAGUGAAAUGUAUUACUCCUUAGAGACUGAAAAUGGGACGUGGGAAAAAAUGUGAAAUGUCAAAAUCUGUCAUUCUGUUGAUCAGUGGCAGAGCAAUGUAAGUAAUGAUAGCUGAAAAAGGAAACAGAUAAGCAUAUCUUAGGCUCCGGAGCAUCAUACAACUGAAAAAGGCUACUUAUGGGUUGUACUUUCGUAUUCUUAGUUUUGUUUGAAACAUAGGAUGCUUAAUAUACAAUUUUAUGCUAAAAAAGAAAUUUAAAAAUGGUGGAGCAAAGAUUUUCUACAAUAUACUCAAAUACAAGAAUGAAUCUUGAUGGAAGGAACAUAACAUGAUAGCUUAACACAAAACUUGCAACUGUGGAUUUCAAAGUCAAAAAAUACACCUUGUUGUCUUUUGGUUUAACUUUCCUUCUUUAUCGGCAAGCUUAUUGAUGUAUUUUUACUUUAGGGUAUAUUCUUGUGACGUUACAACUACAUCCCGAGCAGACGAUAUAGGAUGCUUAUGGGUUGUACCUUCGUAUUCUUAAUUUUGUUUGAAACAUAGGAUGCUUAACCUACAAAGUUAAUUAUUUCGUCAAAAGGGAAGUAGAAUUUAUGGGAGAUACAAUUUUAUGCCAAAAAAGAAAAAAGAAAAAUGGUGGAGUGAAGAUUUUCUACUAUAUACUCAAGUACAAGAAUGAAUCUUGAUGGAAGGAACAUAACAUGAUAGCUUAACACAAAACUUGCAACUGAGGAUUCCAAAGUCAAAAAAUACACCUUCUUGUUGCCUUUCGGUUUAACUUCCCUUCUUUAUCGGCAGGCCUAGUUCUGUAUUUUUGCUUCAGGUGUAUGCUUGUGAUGUUACAACUACAUCCAGAGUAGACGAUAUAGAAAGUAGUUAAUGGACAUGUACUUUCACUAAUAUUGUUGUUCCAGGCACAUGGAAUAUUUUUAAUUAUGGGUGACAGUAAGACUCAGAUAUUGAAUCUUUGUCCGCUCUAAUAUCAUAUUAAAGAACUCAUCUAAAAACUUAAAUUGUUAAAGCAAGUGCACUUUUAUUUAUUUAAAGCAACAUAAUAGCCAGAAUUUUUCUAAAAGCCUCACACGACAAAUUAUUAGGAUCACAAGAAUCAAAGACUGCAGAUCGUUUAGAACAUGAAUAAGUUUAUACAAUUUAAUUAGAAUAGAAAUAGGUUUAUACAAUCUUAUUAGAAUAGGAAAAGGUUUAUACAAUCCUAUUUAGAAUAGGAAUAGAAAUAGUAAAUAGUAUCUUACUAGGUAAAUGAUUGUAUUAUAGUGUCAAUAAAUAGGGUCUCAAUGUAUAAUGUAGACACAACAACAAUUCAAUAAUAUUUUUUUCAAUAAUUCUCACAUGGUAUCAAAACCUCUACGAUCUUGGUAGAAAAUCAAAGAGUUUUUGCUGCCGGCGGGUGGCAAUUACCCAUAUAUGCUGCCCGUCUGGCCAAUAAUUAUGUUAACUGUUAUAGAAUGUAUAUAGACUUAAUCUUAGUAAUAUACAUAGCUAUAUAUAGGCAGCAGAUUUAUAGGGAUCACUGCAGAUCUGUAGGAAUCACUCUUUAUUUCUUUCCUUAGUUAGCACCUUAUGUAUUGUAUUUAUUCACUGUUCACCUACUGGAAUAAGAUAAGAUCUUCCAUUCAAUUACAUGGUAUCAGAGCCAAUAGGCUCGUGUCGUUUUGGCUGUGUUACGGAAGAAGUUUGGAUUUCUAUUCCACUGAUUUAAAGUGGUCAGUCAUCACCACCACAGAAGGAGGCGGAGUAUAUUUUCCAGCCAAACCAGUCUUCACUGGCAUCUGGUUGUGAAGCGAGUGGCUGUCACGCACAGGUCAUACAGUCUUUUGUUCAUCACGGGCCGGCACGUGAAGGUGCGUGUCUGGCUGAAUCGAUUGGGUUUUAAUUUACGGCAUCGACACGUAUUUCUGGUGAAUCUCAGGUCUGUUCUGGUGUUAAAAUAGAUCUGGAAAGUCUGUUCGGUCACUUCUCAGGUCUGUUUUGGUGUUAAAAUACGAUCUGGAAAGUUUGUUCGUCACUCCCUGGUUCGUUUCUAUUCUGCUACACUGAAUCUGGUCUGUACUUUGUGGUUCUGUGGCUGCUAGCUUCUACUUCAGAUCAGAUAAUUGGUGUUGUUUGGUCAUAAGCUGCGGUUCAGAAUUUCUUUCUCUGAACUACUUGCUUGGGUAUUUGAUUGUUCAUUACUUGCUCUUGUCUACUGGUAAAGUACUCAGAUUCUUCAUUUUGGGUGAAUAAUUGGUUUCUUAGUUGAUAAAAUCAUUUUUUAGAAUUUGUUCAACAGUGUUUGUGGGGUCACAUACAUGCUUCUGGUUAUAUUUUCUGUUGAUAAGUUCUUGUGCUGCUAAAAUAUUUGGAGAGAAUGACUGAAAUUGUGGCUCCUAUGUUUUCGGAUAAAAGAACUUUGGUUUCGGCGGAAGAGUUUGCAAAAUUCUCACAAUAUCAAAAAUUACAAAAAGAAUCUAUUUCAGCUACUACCCUUGUUGAGUCAGGAAAAGCAUGUCUUAUAUCCUCUUCGAAUAAAUGGGUGAUCGAUUCAGGUGCCACAGAUCACAUGACAGGUAAUCCUAAUAUAUAUUCUAGCUUUCGAUCACACGGAGCACUCUCUCCUGUGACGGUUGCUGAUGGUUCAAUCUGUAAUAUUAUAGGAUCUGGGACUGUAAAACCAACUUCUUCCAUUACCUUGUCAUCUGUAUUAGGUCUACCAAAGUUAGCCUUUAAUUUGAUGUCUGUUAGUAAGCUUACCAGAGACCUAAACUGUUAUAUCUCUUUCUUUCCCGAUCAUUGUUUGUUUCGUGAUCUGAAGACAAAUAAAGUUAUUGGUAAAGGACAUGUAUCCGAUAGUCUCUACAUUCUUGAUGAAUAUUGGGAGCCUCGAUUUGCUGCCUGUUCUAGUGUCGUGUCUCCAUUCGAGGCACAUUGUUGAUUAGGACAUCCUUCUUUGCCUAUGUUGAAGAAGCUUUGUCCUCAGUUUCAGAAUAUUCCUUCACUAGAUUGUGAGUCGUGUCAAUUUGCCAAACACCAUCGUAGCUCAACAAAACCAAGGGUUAAUAAGCGGGUGGAGUCAAUUUUUGAGUUAGUUCAUUCAGAUGUUUGGGGACCAUGUCCUGUUGUUUCCAAAACCGGACAUAAGUAUUUUGUCACAUUUGUGGAUGAUUUCUCUCGAAUGACUUGGAUUUAUUUUAUGAAGAGUCGUUCUGAAGUGUUUACUCACUUUUGUGCUUUUUGUGCUGAAGUCAAAACUCAGUUCAAUACUUCAAUGCGUAUUCUAAGGAGUGAUAAUGCUAAAGAAUAUAUGUCAGAAUUGUUUCAGUCCUACAUGAGACAACAUGGUAUUCUCCAUCAAACUUCAUGUGUUGAUACACCCUCUCAAAAUGGAGUUGCUGAGAGAAAGAAUAGGCACCUACUUGAGACAGCUCGAGCACUUUUGUUCCAAAUGAAGGUUCCUAAACAAUUUUGGGCUGAUGCAGUCUCUACAGCUUGUUUUUUGAUUAAUCGCAUGCCAUCGACUGUUCUUGUUGGUAAUGUGCCUUACAAUGUUCUUUUUCCAAACAAGUCACUAUUUCCGGUGGAGCCUAAGGUAUUUGGAAGCACGUGUUAUGUUCGAGAUGUUCGGCCAUCUGUUACCAAGUUGGACCCUAAGGCAUUGAAGUGUGUUUUCUUGGGUUAUUCACGCCUUCAGAAGGGGUAUCGAUGUUAUUCUGCAGAGCUUGGUAAAUACUUGGUGUCAAAUGAUGUGGUAUUUUCAGAGACUACACCAUUCUUCUAUGCACCUCCUAUUUCUACAACUCAAGAGGAGGAAGAUGAGUGGUUAGUCUAUCAGGUUACUCGUGUUGUGAAAGAACAAUCAAAUAAUGUUCUUCAAUCUCCUAGCUCCCCUAUUGAGCACCAAUUGACUAUUGGACCUAUAACUUCUGCUCCAGCAAGACCACCAAUUGUUCAAGUUUAUUCGAGGAGACGAGAGAUCGAUGAUACAUGUUCUGCACCGGUUCCUCUGUUAUCAAAUCUUUCUUCACCCGAUACUUCAGAGAAUUUGGAUCUCCCUAUUGCUCUUCGCAAAGGUAAAAGGACUUGUCAAUCCACAUAUCCCAUUGUUAAUUUUGUUUCCUAUGACCGUUUAUCCUCUAUGUCGAGGUCCUUGGUUGCUUCUUUAGACUCCAUCUCUAUACCCAAAACAGUGAAGGAAGCUUUGAACCAUCCUGGAUGGUAUGAUGCGAUGCUUGAGGAAAUACAUGCCUUAGAGGAAAAUCACACGUGGGAUUUGGUGGAUUUACCUAGCACGAAGAAACCAGUGGGAUGUAAGUGGGUGUUCACAGUUAAAGUUAAUCCAGAUGGUUCUGUGGCAAGACUUAAGGCUAGGCUUGUGGCUAAAGGGUAUGCUCAAACUUAUGGAGUGGAUUAUUCAGACACUUUCUCUCCGGUUGCGAAACUUACUUCUGUCCGCUUGUUCAUUUCUCUAGCUGCUUCUGCGAAUUGGCCUUUACAUCAGUUGGAUAUCAAAAAUGCAUUCCUUCAUGGUGAUCUUCAAGAGGAAGUAUAUAUGGAGCAACCACCUGGUUUUGUUGCUCAGGGGGAGUAUGGGCGAGUCUGUUAUUUGAAGAAGUCCUUGUAUGGCUUGAAACAGAGUCCCCGAGCUUGGUUUGGGAAGUUUAGUGAGGUAGUCCUGGAGUUUGGGAUGAAAAUGAGCAAAUGUGAUCACUCAGUCUUCUACCGACAAUCAACAGUUGGCACUAUCCUGCUGGUUGUGUAUGUUGAUGACAUUGUCAUCACAGGAAGUGAUUAUGCAGGGAUCUCUUCCCUCAAAUCCUUCCUGCAUACUAGGUUUCAUACGAAAGACUUGGGUCAGUUGAAGUACUUUUUGGGUAUAGAGGUAAAUAGAAACAAGAAGGGAAUUCUUUUGUCUCAGAGAAAGUAUAUUCUUGAUCUUCUUGCAGACACUGGAAAGUUGGCAGCUAAACCUUGCAGUACUCCAAUGGUUCCCAAUGUGCAGCUUAUGAAAGAUGACGGCGACCCCUUUGAUGAUCCUGAGAGAUACAGGAGGUUAGUUGGAAAGUUAAACUACCUUGUUGUGACUCGUCCAGACAUUGCUUUUGCAGUAAGUGUUGUUAGCCAGUUCAUGUCCUCACCUACAGUCAAACACUGGGCAGCUUUGGAACAGAUUUUAUGUUACUUGAAAGGAGCCCCGGGUCUUGGGAUAUUAUAUAGCAAUCACGGUCAUACUCGUGUUGAGUGUUUUGCAGAUGCUGACUAUGCUGGAUCCAAAAUUGAUAGGAGAUCGACUACAGGCUAUUGUGUCUUUGUUGGAGGAAACCUAGUGUCAUGGAGGAGUAAGAAGCAAAGUGUUGUAUCUCGAUCCAGUGCAGAAUCUGAGUAUAGAGCUAUGUCACAGUCUACAUGUGAGAUUAUGUGGAUAUAUCAUCUUCUAACUGAAAUUGGGUUGGAAUAUCAUACACCAGCAAAACUUUGGUGUGAUAAUCAAGCUGCCUUGCAUAUUGCCUCAAAUCCGGUGUAUCAUGAAAGAACUAAACACAUUGAGGUUGACUGUCAUUUUAUUCGUGAGAAGAUUCAGGAAAACUUGAUUUCCACGGGCUACGUGAAGACAGGAGAGCAAGUAGCUGAUUUGCUCACAAAGGCGUUGAAUGGAACUCGAGUUGAUUAUCUUUGUAACAAGCUGGGCAUGAUCAACAUAUAUGCUCCAGCUUGAGGGGGAGUGUUAUAGAAUGUAUAUAGACUUAAUCUUAGUAAUAUACAUAGCUAUAUAUAGGCAGCAGAUUUAUAGGGAUCACUGCAGAUCUGUAGGAAUCACUCUUUAUUUCUUUCCUUAGUUAGCACCUUAUGUAUUGUAUUUAUUCACUGUUCACCUACUGGAAUAAGAUAAGAUCUUCCAUUCAAUUACAUUAACAAAAGUGACAACAAUGAUAUAUGCAUGAACCCCAUAUUCAGAGAAAGAAAACUCAGUCUGACAAGUCAUUGUGCGUCAAUUUCCGAUGAGUGUUUUGUGUCAACCCCAUAUCCGUUGGUAUUUGCGUAGCACCGUGCUAUCUUUUCGAUGACUACUUUUUCAUAUUCAAUUGUUUUAGCACCGUGCCAUCAUUCCGGUGACUACUUUCUAUAUCUAUUUUGUGUGGCGCCGUGUCAUCUUUCCGGUGACUACUUUUUCAUAUUUAAUUUGUGUAGCACCGUGCCAUUCUUCCGGUGACUGCCUUUUUUUGCAUAUUUGAUUUGUGUAGCACUGUGCAUCUCUCCAGACUAUUUUUCAUAUUCAAUUUACGUAGAAUCGUGGAUUUUUCCGUUCUACUUUGUCAUAUCUAAGUUGCAUAGCACCGUGUCUUUUCGGUGACUCCUCAUAUUUGAUCUGCGUAGUUCCAUUCGUCUUUCGGUGACUUCUCAAAUCUGAUUUGCGUAGGGUUGUGCCAUCAUUUCGACCCUACUUAUACUAUUUCUCUUCUUCAAUAGGGUCAUGCUGUCAAUCCGACCUUGUAUUUUCUAGUUGGGUCGUGCUACCAUUCCGACCCUUCCCAUAUAAUAUUAUUUGUUAGAUUGUGACCACUUUUAGCCAUCAAAUCUAAUACUCCGGCAUAUGAGCAUGUUCCGACCAAUUUUUCAGUGACUUUCUUGUUUAAUAUCGACUCAUCUAUUGAUUCCAGCAUGAUCCAUAUACUUUAUACUAGACUUUGAGCACUUUGUAGCUCAAGGGGAGUUUAGUAGCCUUGUAUGUCGAUUAUGUAAGUCACUCUAUGGUCUGAAACAGUCUUUGCAAGUUUGGUUUGGGAAGUACAACACUGUAAUUUUAUCACGCUGUGUUUUAUCGACAUUAUGCAUCAAAUUCAGUAUUUCAUUAGAAGAUUAAGCACAUUGAGAUUGACUGCCAAUAUGCAUUAAAUCCAACAUUUAAUGAGAAGACAAGCAUAUUGAGAUUGAAUGUCAAUUUUGUGAAGUUGACUAAUCAACUUGCAAUAGUCUCACUAAGCCCCUCAUCGAUCCCCGUAUUAAUUACAUUUGUAACAAGCUAGGUAUAUGAAUUGUACGCACUAGCUUAAGGGGGAGUGUUAGAAUAUAAAUAGGCUGAUACAAUCCUAUUAUAAUAGGAAUAAGUUUAUACAAUCCUAUUAGAAUAGGAAUAGGUUUAUACAAUCCAAUUUAGAAUAGGAAUACAAAUAGAAAUAGGAAUAGUAAAUAGUAUCCUACUUGGUAAAAAAUUGUACUCUAGUGUCUAUAAAUAGGGUCUCAAUGAAAUAAUGUAGACACAAAAACAAUUCAAUAAUAUUCUUUUUCAAUAUUUCUCUCAAUUGAGACAACAUUCCUCCAUGUGAUAUCAAAUUCACUUUGUCCCAUUUCAUCGCAUUUAGUCAUCAUUUAAGUGCUACAACUCAAUGCAAUAAAGUCAAGCUAAAACCAACUUAUCAUCAAAAAAUACAUGUUACGGUUAUAACCUUAUCAUCAUAAGAAAUCUACCAUUGUCUUUUCAUCACUACUUAUAUCUACAAA